ACAGGACACUGUAUCUCACAGAUCCGUAUCCACCAGACAUUCUAAAAGUUCCUCUAGAUCCCGAAGUUCAAGUCACUCAACGCUUAGUGAACAGCUUAUAAAUGCCCGUGCUGAAGCAGAGGCUAGCAAAGUACAGGCUGCAUAUGCUAAAAAGAGAGCAGAAAUGGAAGCUGAGGCAGCUCAUCAAAGGGCAGCAAUUGAAGCUUUAAAGGAACAGAGCAACUAUGAGG